rnacentral:lncRNA from 10 species
GAAACUUGCCCCUAAUUACUUAUAAUCAUAGUGACCAGUAGGAGAGCUUGUCAUAUAUAGCAGUUUUGAUAUAGUAACUUCACAACAGUUAAUCUUCACAACAAUGCUGUGAGGCAGACACUUCUAUUAUUAACCCCAUAUUAGAAACGGGAAAAGGCAGGCAUGGAGAGAUUAAAUAAUUGCAGGAAUCAUUCAGUAAGAGAUAGAGCAAAAUUUGAAUCUGAAUAUUUCUGCCUCCAAAGCCCAGGUUCGAGCUAUUACAUAUUACCAAUAGCUAAAUGAUAGGAAGCCCCUUGUUACUCAUCUGACCUCCAAGGUAACCUAGAGUCAUUUAGAUCACAAGUUACCAGCUGGCAACCUGCCGGCUGGCCCUGGCCCAGAGCAUAUUUUCUUUGCUGCGCUUGAAUUUCUAAUUUCUUCCUUUGGUCUGGAUACUUCUGGUGUAAUAUGCAGUCUCCAGCUUUGCUCAGUUCCCGCCACUGACCUCAGUCUCCAAAGCAAGAAGAACAACCCACCAGCCCAUGGGCAGAAAUCCUGCCACCUCGGGGCUGGUUUACAAGGCCUGGUGUGCUCAUUCAUUCACCUGCCUGGCCCUGCAGGGCAGUGGUUUUGCUCUCCACUUUAGACUGGCUCUCCCAUUUUAUGGGCCAAGAGGGGUGGGAUGUUCCCAGCGCCACUCAGCCAUGCUGUCUGCCCCAUGUGGCCCUUCCUUUCCCUGGCAUCACUCCUCUGCCCCCACCUGCCCCUCCAUAUGCCAACCAUCAGCCCUGACCCUGUUUCAGGCCAGGGCUGUUCUCUCCAACCCACGACCGUCCUGGAUUCCUCUCACUCAGAGAAGCUGAGGUCAGGUGGGUGGGGCAAGGUGAGCCCCUGGCACCAGCUCUUCCCUGCAGGGUGUGCAGGACCUUUGUGGAAGCCACAGAUUUGGCUGUUUUAAGAACAAAGAGCUGGCUUUUUAAUUAUGCAGCCCAGACAGGCUCCCCGCAGGUGGGUGGAGAGGGAGCUCCCCAGGGCUGCCUAGCAGACGCCCUGAUUUCCACUCCUUGAAGUGGCCACUUGGAGAAGGAACCAGCAAGCAAUCAAGCAUGAAGGACAGAAAAACUCUCCAGGUGAGGACAAUCACUCUGCCCAGUGGGGAUGCAGGGUGUGGGGGGCUCUGCGGACAGCAGGGUGUGCCCAGGGCCUCCAGCUUGCAGUGCA